rnacentral:lncRNA from 1 species
CAUCUUAGUUUGCCUGUCAAAGUUUAUAUUUUUUAUUCGGCUUAGCUAUUUUGGUAUUUCAAAAAGGGUUGUGUGGUUUUAAAUACUGCUGAUGGGUAUCAGACCUAGACUUCAGAGGAAUGGCAUUAUCCCACUAUGAAACCAUUAAUUUCUAGGCAUCAACAGUGAGAACUGGGCAAAGCACAUGAGAUGUCUAAGAUCUGCCAGGAAAAGGACCAUGAAGGACUUGCCUGUGGUCAAGAAUCUACAUCUCAGUAUUUGUACAGUUGAGCCGAAAUGCCUGUUCUAACAAAGAGAGCCUGGGUGGGACUGCCAAGAUGAAUAGACAUAAUCCUCGAUCUAACCACUUCACAGUUUAUCAUCGGAGUCAAGUUUGCAGAUAAACAAUUGCCAUGCAACUUUCAAGCUCACUUCUCAGCUACCUAGGGCAAAAGCUGCUGCCAGAGUUCUAACAUUCAUAUGUUUGCAUAUUGUUAUGGGUUGCAAUUUGGAGAAGAAAAGAGGGCUGUGAUCUUCCUUUCAAAAGAAACUCCUUGGAAGCACCACACUUCUGUUUAUUUCUCAUUGACUAGAACAUAGUCAAGUCAUGGGAUUCUGGGUAAUGUAGUAAUU